GUUUCUACUAUGUGAAAAUUUAAUUGCUCAUCUAUUUUAAAGGAUUCGUUAUUUUGGGGGAUCAUUAAUUGUUUCACAAAAUAAGGAUGUACUUUUUGGUUCUUAUUUAUUCACAGGUCAGAUCAGCUCAGGUCAGGUCAAGUCUACUUUGGUUGGGUCACGUUAAGUCCCUGGGGUGGCUAACUACCAGGCGCGUCCCCCGGGUGGCGGAUAGGGGAACGGCCAACUCUCGCAAGGGAAGUUGGUUAGUGACGGCCAUAAGCAGGAUGAGGGGCAGUAAAACGCCUCAAUAUUUUUGUGAAGACCGUUGCCGCGGACCACCCCCAGUAGUCACCCUGAACGACUGGUUCUUUCUUUCUUCCCUCUUCCAUGCUUCUUCGUCUUUACGGAUGGAAACUUUACACUUUAUCUGUCGUCCUUCCUUGAACAACUCUUGUUUUCUUCCGGCCUUAAGGCUAUCCGAGGCCUAGUGGUCUUUUCUUUUCCCACUAUCCGGUUACCGAUUAUAAUGAUGAAUAGCGAUAUGAACAGGGACAAGAUUACGGUGCAGGGUACCUCGGAUAACCCACUAUGAGGAAGGAAAAUGGAGGGAAAACAGGAAGUACAAGAGGAAAUAAGGAAAGUAGAAGAAGAGUUUAUGGAAAAAUUUACGGAACAGAGAAGAAGGAGUUCGCUGGUAAGAACUCCGGGAGCGAUACAGGAUAGAUUACCUAGUGACAAAGACCAAAGACUAUUAGACUAUAUGGCUUCCUGGACGGAGGGAGUAAGGACACCGGUAUCUAAGAAAACAAGCUGGAAAUACCACCAUUAAUCACUGAAGAUACUCCCGCUGAUUUUGAAGAACUUACGGUGAUUGUUUUUGAAAGUGAGGCGCUUUGCCACAACAUGUUGCAAAGACUUGAAACAAAUACAAAAAAUAUGUGCGAAACAAAAGAAAUUCUAAAGGAAACGAGUGAACAAAUUUCCAAUAUGACAACGUCAUCAAAUGUGACAAAUCAAAAAGAAAACAGUAAUAGAAGAUAUGCCGCCAAGACCACAGGUAAACAAAUUUUGAGGAAUUAGAAGAUUAUCUCUGCCUACUACAACAAGCAGGCUUCUUUGAACUGCUAUUGUCCCAGAUAGGUGGUAAUGGGAAAAAGAACAAUGUAUAUUAAAAAAAAAAAAAUCAGCGAAUUUGCUGUAGCUUGUUUGUUCGGUAGGAAAAUUCCGAAAUGGCUGGGACAAAAACAAUGAAUAUUAUGAAAGAAAUUACAAUGAAGACCCAUUCCGCAAUAGAAAAAGAAGUAGAACAACGCUGCUCAGAGUGGCUAAGGCAUUCUAGUCAACGCCUGAAGAAAGAAAAAACAACGACAGGGUAUAGUUUCUGUGUCUUUUUUUAAGUGUAAAUUAUAUUGUAUUAUUUUCGA